rnacentral:rRNA from 1 species
AUUGAACGCUGGCGGCAGGCUUAACACAUGCAAGUCGAGCGGAGUGAUGGUGCUUGCACUAUCACUUAGCGGCGGACGGGUGAGUAAUGCUUAGGAAUCUGCCUAUUAGUGGGGGACGACAUCUCGAAAGGGAUGCUAAUACCGCAUACGUCCUACGGGAGAAAGCAGGGGAUCACUUGUGACCUUGCGCUAAUAGAUGAGCCUAAGUCGGAUCAGCUAGUUGGUGGGGUAAAGGCCUACCAAGGCGACGAUCUGUAGCGGGUCUGAGAGGCGGAUCCGCCACACUGGGACUGAGAGACGGCCCAGACUCCUACGGGAGGCAGCAGUGGGGAAUAUUGGACAAUGGGGGGAACCCUGAUCCAGCCAUGCCGCGUGUGUGAAGAAGGCCUUAUGGUUGUAAAGCACUUUAAGCGUGGAGGAGGCUCUUUUGGUUAAUACCCAAGAUGAGUGGACGUUACUCGCAGAAUAAGCACCGGCUAACUCUGUGCCAGCAGCCGCCGUAA